CACUGGACAGGACUGGAGUAUCGCAGACCACACGAUCACCUGAGGCCUGGCUGCAGGGCCUACAUCAGCCCUAUCUGGGCUGGAGCUGAACUUCAAGGUUACAACAGAGGACCACGCACUCCUGCCCCGUUCAGAUUGCUUAGCUCCGUGGAUGGGAUCAGCCGACAGGAUUCUUCAUUUGCACAGUUUGGCUGAACCAUUCUAUUCCUUCUUCCACAUUGAUCAGGUGGUUUGGAAUCAACUGUGGGGAACCUGCCCAGAGGGUGUCUGCGGGUGAAGAAUCUUCAUUUUCUCCUGGCCUCUGUUUGUCGUGAAUGGGACAGUUCACAGGAGGCGGGACUUCGGGGGUUCAUUUGCUACUAUGACUUUGCCAUCCAAGUCUAGUGUUCAUCCAGCUGGUGUCUGUCUGAGCUUGGAACUUGGAGAAGAGUGAAGCAAGACGUUGUGAAAGAGGCUGGGGAAAUGGAGAAAACCUGGUGUUUUCAAGUAGCACUCCACUCAUUGGCCUGCCAGAUCAGCAGGCUUACCAAACAGCAGCUCCAAGCCACAGUGAAUAUUUCAACACGUCUUACCCGUUUCUGGCCCGUGUGGUAAGAUGGCCAGAGAAGUACACAAAAAACCCUAGUAAUGGAGAAUACCGAAGAGUUUCAAAUGAGGUGAUUCUAGAUUGUAUGUUUAGAUCAAGCAGCCCCGCGGUGUUCGAGAUUAAUUUAGUUGUGGUGUUCUGUUUUUAGUGUUUGUUUAUUCAUUUUUGAGAGAGAGAGAGAGAGCACGAGCGGGCGAGGAACAGAGAGAAUCCCAACCAGGAUCCGUGCUGUCAGCACAGAGCCCAACACAGCGCUUGGUCCCACAAACCAAACUGUGAGAUCAUGACCUGAGCUAAAAUCAAGAGUUUGAGACAUGUAAGUGCCCCAAUUUAGUUGUGGUCUUAUCAGAAAUCUCUAUCCUACCUUCUACUUUUCCAUUGGUUUCAGAAUCCCUGCCAGGGAUGAAAGGGGCUUCAUUUACCUCAAAUUAUUAUUAUCUUGCAUAAGAACCAGAAAAUUACCUGCAGGUACUAGGUAAGACCUCUACAAAGUUAAUUUUUUCAUGACUCAAAUUGUACAGGGACAAUUAUCCUAUUCCUUAUUCUUCGUUCAGUAUCUUUAUUGAGUAUCUACUAUGUGCUAGUUGCUGGAAUCCAUAGUAAACGGACAAGCUUCCUAUUAAAGCAAAGCUCGUAGUCUAGCAAUAAACAAGAAAACAACCCAAAAUAUCAGAUAAAAGCGAGCAGGUAAUUAAAAUGGAGAGAUAUGUUGUGAGUGUUUGGAUUAGGUGGAAGGAGGUGACUUUUGUGAUGAGAAAUAAAUGACAGGAAGGAACCAGCCAUGGGAAGACAAGAAACGGAGCAUUCUGGGCAGAGGAAAUGCUUCCCAGUGUAGUUAAGUACUGGGAAACAUAACCGUUGACUUUUCCUCACCUCUGAACCCAGCAACCCUCUGUCCUUAAAAUGCGCACCACAAGCUCUAGUGUCUGAGUUGCCCCCGAACCAUCUCUCCCUCCCCCGGAUGAUACACACCAAAUUUUGGAUCAAUGGUACCAAAUUUAGAAAUGUCCCAGCUCUUCCCGGUUUACUUUCCUCCCUAGCCAUCACUGUACUUCGAACCAGGCGCGGACAGUUAGUUCUGUUUCGUUUUUAUGCAGUAACAACCUAUAUAGAUCCUUCUGAUAAGUGGCUCCACACUAACGUUGAUGUUUGGUAAGAUCUCUCUCAACAGCUUAGAGUCUUCAUUCAGAGCCCCGAAAAACAGUGACGCAAAUUGCCCUAGACCAGGAUCUGAGGUCUUCCAGGACCCUUUUUCACAGGAAUUUGAAAACAGGCACAUUCCAUUUUGCCCUUUGUUAGAGAGCUAUUGACAAUAAACAGAAUUCGGCUCAGAAUUUGUGCUGUAAAACAGCAGAACGCUGAACAAACCACUCUUUCUCACCCAGGGCAACACUCCCCUGGAUUCUGCUGAUACUUCCACAGGGUUUAAGUAAGAACAUUUGGGAAGUUUAUGGGAGACUAAAAGUCUCAACGCAUUAGUUUCUUAAACUCUUUGUUAUUUUGACUGCACCGAAGGCUAUUCCACAAGCCGUUAUCAGAAUCCGCCCAUCUUCAGUUCCCGUAAAUAUUAUGUCUACCCAGAACUAUGUGAACUAUUUCAUAGCUGGAAUAUGAGCCAGGCUGUGGAACUUGCUGGUAGGAAUAAGAGGAGCGUUGAAACCUGAAGGCAAGAAAAUUCAGGAGGCAAAGGGAAAAGUGGGCUAAAGGAUUAUGUAUGUUUUGGAGAAAGAAGACAGCUCAGCCCUCAGAGACUGAUUAUUAUUCAGCCCAUACUUGAUUAUUUAAACCCAGCAGCGAAUGUUUGCUGACACAUUCCUGGGGGCACGAGGGUGGCUUUCAUUACAACAAGUAAAGGAAGCUGCGUUCGGGCCUCAGCAGUCAUCCUUGUUGUAACUGAUACUAACUAUUCCAGGCAAUGGAGAGCAAGGAAAACUGAGGCAGCAACUGUCAAACGUUGGUGACCUCCUGGAAAGGAGCAAAGUAGGCAGCUGCUGCCAUGCAUCCUGGAGCUGGGGACUAAAUUCACUCCGGUGGCAAACCUCUGAUGCAGGACGUUUGUGAAAAGGCAUUGUACCGCGGAAAGCACGAAUCAAAUGUGAGUUACUAGUGUUAAACCUGUGUUCUCUGCCCCCAUCUCCCGCUCUCCUCCUCAGCUAAACCUACUCUUAUCCAGGUUUCAAACUUGAAAUGUUGUAUCCUGAGCACCCAGCUUGAAUUAGGAACCCUCUAGAAGUCUUUCGCUCGCCCCAGGCUUUGCAUGUAUAGCACUGAUCACUGUUUCUAAUAAUGCAUACUUAUUUAGAAAACAAUGGGGCUGAUAUCUAAGAGAUCCGUUCUACAAAGGUUGGGAUCUUUGGGAUCUGAUGAACCCCCAAACGCCCACAGAAGGCCUCGUAUGAGUAGGCCUUAAUUGUUGAUUGAGUUUGUUUGGUGUCUGUCUCUCCACUCCGGAAGGAGAGAAAUCCUGCUUAUUUCACCCAUGAUGGACUCGCAAGCCCAUAAUAUGGUUUCUGGCCAUGUAUCGGCUGCUCAAAAAAUACUUCUCGAAUAAAUGGAAAUAACAGUAGCUAAUAUUUAUUGAGUGCUGCCCAGGGAUUGUGCUGAAUGUUUUACAGAUAUCGUUAUGUUAUUUAAUAUUCACCAAAGUGCCAUGAUACAUUAUUAUGCCAUUUUGGCUGAGUAGUAUCAAUACAUCUCUUUAAAUAAUGAUCUUAUAAUUCACUACUCCACAAUAGAUAAUUGUGCAGUUUUCUCCCCAGUAUAGUAGGUAGGUAGUGCCCUGGUGACCUGAAUAAGUGAAUUUAUUUCCCUAGGUAUCUAGCAGGGAGUUACUGAUGAGAGAGAAAGUCUCAUGGGCUUUAAUUAUUCUUAAAUUGCUUAGAAUUAAAUGAUAGCCUCAGCUUCUGUUUACACUGGGUUUUGGAAGGAAAGCAUAUAUAAUAUAUAAUAAUAUAUAUAGUGAUAUCUCUAUCAGCAAUAUAUACAGUGCUAUAAUGCUGGCUGCAUUUGGUUCCUAUACAGCCGCAGAACACGUAGAGUGUUGCCACUUCUAACUGAGCUAACCUGCCAAGAAGAGCGUUUCCACUUCUGCUAGAGGAAACUUCAAGCAGGAAAAAAGUAUGGGCCAAACCUUGCCCGAGAUGCUGGUUAAACUGGCUCUGCCAGUGUCUCCUGCACCUGCCUGGGACACCAGUUGGAAGGCAGGCUUGUUCCCUCCUCCGGGGAACAUGCCGAUCUUCACCACUCAGCCCCAUCUGAUCUUGCUGAACAGGCAUAGAGCAGUCAAAAUCCCACCUCCUCACGUAAACCUGGAAGUGUUUGGGUGGGUGGGGCCUGGUCCAAGCAAGGAUCAGACCAACUGGAAACAAACUGACCCACCCAGACUGGGUGUAAUUCCAAAGGAACUACGCAAAGUAUUAUAUUCCCACCAUUGUAUUGCACUCUUCCCCAUCCUGGUGAGAUUGUGUCACACCCCUUUGCCACAGAAACUGGUGAUCCAAAGGCACGUGGUUUAAGAAGUGGUCAGUUUGAUUAGGAAAAUUAAUCAACCCUUGAAUUCGAUUUUUACUUCUCCUUGAUGCUUCUGUCUGCUACCACUGUCAACGAUACGCCAUGGAGACUAAAGAAGGAAUAGAACUGUCAGAGGAAGAUAGGGAAAAAAAUGACAAAGCAAGGAGUUUUCACAGAGCUAUAUACAUUCAAUUUAAAAGAGCUGUCCCUAAGUCUUAGAUUAUGUCUUUCUGACUUUCGUUAAUGUUAAAAUGUCCUCUUAUUUAUAAAAUGAUGGUGAUAACAAAUGGUGAUUGUUUGGUACAAUUGAGAACUGACAACCUAUGUCAGUUCACCAACUUUUUUUUUUCUUUUAGAGAGAGAAAGAGAGAGAGAGAGAGAGAGAGUGAAUAGGGAAGAGGGGCAGAGGGAGAGAGAGAAUCUCAAGCAGGCUCCACACUCAGAGCAGAGCCCAAUGCAGAGCUCGAUCCCAUGACCCUGGGACCAUGACCUGAGACGAAAUCAGGAGUCAGACACUCAACCAACUGAGCCACCCAGACAUCCAAGUUCACCAACUUUAAAAAAAAUUUUUUUAAAUUUAUUUUUGAGAGAGAGAGCACAAUCAGGGGAAGGGCAGAGAGAGACACACACACACACAGAAUCUGAAGCAGGCUCCAGGCUCUGAGCUGUCAGCGCAGAGCCCCACACGGGGCUCAAACUCACAGACUGUGAGAUCAUGACCUGAGCCCAAGUUGGACGCUCAACUGACUGGCGCCCCUCCCCCACGCCAGUUCACCAACUUUUAAAAAACUUUGCCAGCCCCUAAAAUCCAGCAGUGUGGGAACCCCUGGAUUGCUGUAGUGGCCUCAGAGGCUUUGGGUAAGGACAGGGAGAAGAGUCUCUCCUUUUCAUGUAUGAGUAGCGCUCCAGAUCUGCUGGGUGGGCUCCAAGUAUCCUCUGUCACCAAAUGGCACAACUUGGAGGGGCAACUUUGAUUAAAAUGAAUAAUGUUCCCUAGGCUCCCAGGAUCCUGUUUUUCAGACCCACCUAAGAGCCCAGUGUUCUUAUGUGGUGCUGUCUCACCUGUCAGGGUGGAACAUGUCUGAUAACCUAAUUUAUGUUAAACUUUAGGAGUUUACUGCUCACUCAUCAAAGAAUUUGUAUUUUCAACCUAAGACUUGAAGAGAGUGGUAGAUGCUGACUCCAAAGGCAUAUUCCACUGAUAAUGGAAUUUUAGGGAGAGUGAGGGAGCAUGCCCUGACAUGGGAUGUAUCAGAUCGCACAGGUAGGCAUUCAUCCAGCCUGCCUAUGAAUGACACCCAAGCCCACCUUGACACUGUUCCACUUAUAGGUCACCUUGUCUAGUAAAACAUUUUUAAGCUUGAAUGCCUUCUGCUUUAUGGUUUUCAAAGCCCUUUCUUGAACAUUCCCUAGUGUGACCCUCAUAACAGUGCUGAGAGGUAAGCAGGGAAGGUAGCAGCAUCUUUGUUUCAUUUUAUAAUUUUUUUUAAUGUUUAUUUAUUUAUUUAUUUAGAGAGAGAGAGAGUGAGAGAGUGUGAACAAGAGUGGGGCAGAGAGAGAGGGAGAGAGAAAAUCCCAAGCAGCUUCCACGCUCAGCACAGAGCCUGACGUGGGGCUCGAUCCCAUGACCACGAGAUCAUGACCAAAGCUGAUAUCAAGAGUCGGACGCUCAACCAACUGAGCCACCUAGGUGCCCCACAAUAUCUUCACUUCUACAACUGAAGACAGGAGGAGUGUGAGUUGAAGAGCUCAAUUUCAGUCACAGCUGGGAUGUGCAAGAGAUUUUCUCCACAUGGCAGAGAAGCUGGCAGACCACUGACUCUGCAUCACAUCCUCCCAGUUCCACGUUCUAAAAGGCAACUCCCCUUCUCCUCCGGCUCCAAGCUUUAAAAACCACAGAGAAGCCUGGCCGGCUGGCCUGGCAGGAGUCACAGGUCUACCAGGGAGGUGGAUGAACCAUGAGCUCCUCUCCCACCACACUGGAGUGAAAGAGAAGCAGCUUCCUUAAGGAAGCCGGGACUGCAGAACAGAGAAAGCAAUAAACGUACAAACCUUUGACUGCACAGCCUCUGAUAAUACCUCUGUGGUCAGCCCAGAGUCUGGGCCUCAGUGUAGGUCCUGGGAAGCAGCCUCCUGAGACCAGCCCACUCCUUACGCACUGCUUAAGUAGAAGACAUUGUUUCCAUAAGACGUGAUAGUAUCUUCAUGACUUCCUGUGAAUUCACCAGAGUUGGCAAGGGCCUGUUGACAAGUUGUUUGUUUGUUUUUUUUCCCAAGACCUGAAGACCUAGGAAGAACCAUCAAGGUCUACCAAAGGGAUAUAUUUAUAAAAUGAAAUCUCAUUGGAAAAUCCAUGCUUUUCAGGCAGAAAUUUACGUCAGAUGCGGAAGCACCUCUUUUAUUCAUCCCUCCAACGAAUAGUUACUAAGCAACUGCCAUGUGCCCAACUUGGAGUCAGGUGCUGCACAUGCAAUGGUGGAUACGUUCCAGUUCCCUGGCCUCACCAGCCUUAGAGUUUCUGCACGUAAGGAAACACAAUUAAGGCAAAAAUGUGAUACGGUGACCAAGUCUGUAAGAUAACACUGUUACACAAACAAAUAAACAAAAGCCACCCUGAAUCGAGAGCUUCUCAAGAGUGAAGAAAUUCCCGAGAUACUAAAGAAAUGAAGGCAUGAAUCAGGAGGAAAUAGCAGUCAGAAUAUCUUGAAAUUCAUGAUGUGUGAAAGCACUUCUGGAAUGUAGGUUUCCCGGUAUGCUACCUUACCUGGUAUGCUGUUGGGGCCAACCACCCUCUGUCUCCUUCCCUAAUUGCUACUUAGUUUUGCUUGGAGAUUUUUUUCCCCCAUGAACACCCAUUUCCCUUCAAUGUUUAUUUAUUUAUUUUGAGAGAGAGGGAAAGAGAACGAACAGGGGAAGGGCAGAGAGAAGAGGGGAGAGAGGAUCCCAAGCAGGCUCUGUACUUAGUGCAGAGCCUGACGUGGGGCUCAGUCUCACAACCCAUGAGCUCGUGACCUGAGUCGAAAUCAAGACUCUGACGCUUAAUCAACUGAGCCACUCAGGUGCAGAUUUCCAAUUUUUUAUUGUUAAGUCAACAGCAAUUGUUCCACAUGUUCAGAACUUUAUAAUACUAUUAGUACACAGAGUAAAGAAAUCCUGUACAGUCUAGCUCUUGAUUCUUUUCAUAAACUUUAAAUUUUGGAAUAAUUUUAGAUUUACAGAAAAGUUGCAAAGAUAAUACACAAAGUUCCCAGAUACCCCUCACCCAGUUUCUCUUAAUAGCACCUUUGUCAAAACUAAGAAACAAA